GACAAUUGGAACGGGGAGACAACCCCAUAAAUGAAAAUCAUACGGAUAUAAUUCUCUAGAAAUAAUCGUUCACGAGAUAUCAUGGUAGGGAGAAAUCGUCAAAUGGGCAAGAGUUUCACCGAUCAUAAGGAGAAAAGAAUCCACUGUUGAUGCAGAGAGGCAUAGACAACAGACACACGGAGGGUUAAAUAGAUACAAAAUAAACUUUAGGGGACACUCAUGAACUAGAGAGUUAACGCAGAAGAACAGCGUACAUAAAAGGAAUACACAUUACUCACAUCUAAAGAUAAACAAGACUUGAGGAGCUCACAACGCCUGUGGACAUAGAUCACAGCAGGUAGUUAGCUAAGAGUGCGGUUGUUUCAGUGUCCAUCAUGUUUAGUCGACGUGCAACACUUCAAAUGUACAUCGCGGAAUACUAGCGUGAACAUGUCUGCAUGAAUAGUCGCCAUAACAGCAUGAAACUUGGCUGUCAGGUCUUCUAUGUCGCGGUCGUCUCUUGUGCGGUGCUGGUGUUGACAGCAGUUUGCAAGUCUCCCUCAUCCUGUCGUACACAUUACUGGGCUGGGGGCGACGUGCUGGCUACCUCCAUGCAGCGUGAAUAAAGAUACCACAAGCUCGAAGCAUCGAAUACGUUAUCACAGUAACAGUGCAAAGUGAAGUUCGUUUCAGUUGUUAUUUCUUGGUGAUUUGUUCAAUGUCUUUCGACGACUGCACAGCGCAAAAGAUAUGAAAAGUGCACAGGAAGAUAUUACACAGACGGCAACAGUGGCCGAGUGGUCUGGAGUGUGGACCUUGAUCCGAGUCAUGCUGCCGAGAGGUCUCGACCCAGAGGUCCUACCAAAUAUCUAAAUGCUUUAAGGAACUUUCCAUAUGUGAGGCGGCGAAGGUCCUUCAAGGACUACAGAAUCACGUAAAGAAUUUCUUCAGUUAUUCAUGCAUCUCUUAAAACAACUGUCCUGCUAACCACCAUGAAGGCGCUUCGGGGGAGAUGUAGUACAGCUCCUACUCACUCCUGACCUCGGCAAUAGAUGGGGUGAGUAGUCAGCGUCACGUCCAGGCCGCACUUUUUCCUCUCUGCACACAUUUUAAAAGUCUGCUGAUGAAUAAUCAUGUUGAGACACUUUAUGAAACAGAAGUUAUGUUGAUGCAGCGAACAUUUUAGAACAUAGCAUCUUGAAAAUUAUCUAAUUUAUAGCAUCGUUUUUACAAAAUGUUUCGCUGG